UACGUAGGGUGCAGGCGUUAAUCGGAAUUACUGGGCGUAAAGCGUGCGCAGGCGGUUUCUUAAGUCAGGUGUGAAAGCCCCGGGCUUAACCUGGGAACUGCGUUUGAAACUGGGAGACUUGAGUGUGGCAGAGGGGGGUGGAAUUCCACGUGUAGCAGUGAAAUGCGUAGAUAUGUGGAGGAACACCGAUGGCGAAGGCAGCCCCCUGGGUUAGCACUGACGCUCAUGCACGAAAGCGUGGGGAGCAAACAGG
rnacentral:rRNA from 1 species